GGGUUGGAGUGUUCCAUUUGAUAGAUUAUUUGACCAAAAAACACCUGUGUUAAAAAUCUUUUGCCCCGAAAAAAGAAGGGGAUCUUGGUUUUUUGAGGAUGAAGCAUGAACAAAGAGAAAAGAGAUGAACAGAACUUUUGUUUUGGAACCGUACAGUCUUAAAAGUAAUACCUUAUGAGUUUGACAUGGCCCACAAGCACAGCUCUGGGAAGGCUGUGAAGUUAAGAAGAGUGCCAUGACUGCAGGUUCCCGGGCGGCUGCUACUCGUGAAAGUGAAAUCAAAAGAAAACUGUUUCCUUCCCACUUUUGGAAAAGAGAUCCCUAUAGCCAAACAAGAAGAAGCUCCUCUCUCUGAAGUGAACAGAAUAAAAUUAUUUUAGUGGAGAACUGACUGAAGUGUCUUUGUAUGUUGUUGUUUCUAGUAAUUUACU